UUACUUCUGUCGCAAUGCACUAGCAUAUUUGCAAGUACUAUAUAAUAAAGAGCGAUGGAAUUAAGGUUAAUUCCCACCGAGAGUUAUACCCAUGUACAUCUCACAAAGGAUCCACCUGUUAGGGCAAAAUAAGGUAAAAUGGACAACCAAGGGGAGGGGGGAGACCAAAUAUUCCUAGCAUCCGUUGCAUAUUGCCACUCUACCACGUCUAAUAUUUAUGAACUUUUGUAUGGUAAAUCAUGAACAAUUCAUUCAGGUGAGGACCUUCCAAUAAAAGCCAAACAAUCAAUCAUGGUCAAUCCAGAAUAAUCAAAUCACUAAUCACACUAAGUCCCUUCCAAUUACAUCGAAACCCUUCCAAUUACGAGUCCAUAGUUCCCACCAAUCAAAUUGAUUGAUUGACAAUCAAUCACAAUUAAUCCAAAAC
rnacentral:lncRNA from 1 species